CUACAACCUGACCCACCCGCAAAAUGUUGAUGCUCUGGUCCUGAUCAACUGCGCAGUGGGCACCUCAGGCUGGCUGGAGUGGGGGUAUCAGAAACUCAACAUCCACCAACUGAAAGCUGGUACCAUGACUUCCGGUACCGUGGACUACCUCAUGUGGCACCACUUCGGCAAGGUGAAGC